rnacentral:lncRNA from 1 species
CAGAACUCAGAGCAGCACAGAGCAAUGUUCAAAUGGCGAUAUUGAACAGAAAAUACAAAUAUAAACUGUAUGAAAGUAAAUAAACUGAGACUCAAACUGGAUGUGUGUUGUCAAAAUGAAUAGGCUUUUAAUAAGUUAUGAAACAAUUAUGGGUGAAGUUUCUGUCUUCUCAACUGUAGAUGAGGUAGAUUCAACAGUCUGUUGAAAAUGUCAGACCUGUAAAAAAGUGACAACAGGAAAUUUGCAACAGUAAAAACAGGGUUCAGAGCAGGUUAUGGAGGUGAUGUUAGGGGAGCGUGGGUCAAUUUGUGAUGUUUGGGGAGCGUGGGUCAAUUCGUGAUGUUUGGGGAGCGUUGGUCAGGCGUGGUGUUAGGAGAGCGUGGGUCAAUGUGUGUGUGUUAGGGGAGCGUUGGUCAGGCGUGGUGUUAUAGGAGCGUUGGUCAGGCGUGGUGUUAGGGGAGCGUUGGUCAAUCGGGUGAGGUGCUAGGGAAGAGUGGGUCAGUGCGUUGUAGAAGAUGCUGUAGAGCUCCUAAAAAGAAACAGAAACAGAGAACAGACAAUCAGAUACUUUUUUAAUAGUUCAUAAAAGAGUUCAAGAAAUUAGAUAUAAAUUAACCUCUUCCCAUUUUAUGCUCAUAUAUACUACGAUAUAAAUGGUGGAUGUCUUAAGUUUUACAUAUAGCACAAUGACCAUUCAGAGCUUAAACUGAAGUAGACACUUUUAACUAAUCAGUUAACUUCCAGACUUUAAUUUCCAUUAUUUAGGUCCCAUUUGAGAACAUCAAAUGAAAAAGAAAAUGUAAAAAUGUUAUAUUUGGAGUUUACAAUGUGUGUAUAGAUGUUGGUCAUGAAAAAUCAGUCAUUCUCUACACUUCCUGAUUCAUCAGGGUCUUGACUAACAAAUU